rnacentral:rRNA from 1 species
UACGUAGGUGGCAAGCGUUAUCCGGAUUUAUUGGGCGUAAAGGGAACGCAGGCGGUCUUUUAAGUCUGAUGUGAAAGCCUUCGGCUUAACCGGAGUAGCGCAUUGGAAACUGGGAGACUUGAGUGCAGAAGAGGAGAGUGGAACUCCAUGUGUAGCGGUGAAAUGCAUAGAUAUCACGCAGAACGCCGAUUGCGAAGGCAGCUUACCGGCGCUCAACUGACGCUGAGGCACGAAAGUGCGGGUAUCGAACAGG